GUUCACGAGUGCUACAUGUGUCAAUAAAGUUAGAUGACAAUUAAAAAGUAAAUGGCUGACAAAAGAAUGUGUCGCGAUUUCUAGAUUAUGAAGUAAUUCCUGACAGAAAAUCGAGAGAACGAAAUAGUUUUACGAUCACGAGAAGCUAUAUGAAAUGUGUAGACGAUUAAUAUAAAUUAAAUCAUUGUUCGCAAAUCAAUGGGUAACCUAAAAGACACUCACCGACAAUGCACGUUGGAAUGCCUUGUCGACCGGAUGGUAACCAAAAUACUCCUCGACACCAACGUUCACAGAAUCGUUUGACGAAGUUAACAUUUAUCGCAGGCUGGCGUCAGAUCUACCACUAAACAUUGAAUUAUUCAACUCAUUGCGACAAACAGAAUUAGAUGUAGAAGAUUAUGUACUGCCUAAACAGGUGAAACAAUCGAAAACUUUAAAAGAAUAUAGAAAACAUUUAAAACGUACAAAACAUCCUGAGCUAUGGAAAGUGAAUAUAAAAAAAAAUGCUAGACUAAGAAGCGAAGAAUAUACUGGGAUUGAAGGGAAAAUAGCACCAGCAAAAACCAUGGAAACUUUUUGAAAAUGCUGCAUGUAUUACGCUGACAAAAUAAACGAAGCUGCUCGGAAGGAGCUGCAUA
rnacentral:misc_RNA from 1 species